rnacentral:lncRNA from 1 species
UUUUCCAACCCUUUUUACGUGAAACUUUUUCUCUUUUGGAUAUAUCUCUAAACUAUCCUUCCGCCUUGUUUGUACAUGUACAUACUCAAACUUGAUCCACUGUUUUGUUUCCUUUUUAUCAUCUGAACUCGAGUUGAAACUUAGAUACUAAACUUUAGUAUUGUAUUACUGGUGAACAUUACUUCUUAUUCUUCCAUAUUCUUAAGGAAAAUUCCUUUGAACACCAGGGAUAGUUGUCUUCGGCUUUCUACACAUGUAUUUGCUUAGCGUCAGAUGUUAGUUGUUCCCGGUAUUAUGUCAAACUUAAGAGAUCUGUGUGUAGAAGCAAAACCGCCAAGCAAACGCUUAGUUUUAGUUCUUUGAUGUGUGAGGAUGAAACAUUAAAUGUUUUUUCACAACUACGGAUUUUUUCCUAAUCCAGGUAUAUUAAGGCUAAUCCUUCUUUCUUAUGGCAUGAUCCAAGUAACGAUACGUAAACGUAAUGCUAUUCCAUAAGUGGUUCUACUCUUAGUAGUUAAGGAUAUCUAUGUUAUUCAUUCUUGUAAAUUGAUAUUCAAGCAUAUCUAAGCAUAUUCCUAAAUCUCUAUUGAGGUAUUUGAUAAAGAUGUUAAUGUUUAUAAUAUAGAGAUACACACAUCUUCAUGCAUAUUCGUUUACCACCGUGCUAUAGUCGGUCGGGUAGUUACCACCGGUUAGGCAGUUAUGUAUUAUUAUUUACCGUCGGUUGGGCACACAUGCAUAUACAUUUACCACCGAGCUAUGGCCGGUCAGGCAGUCAUGUAUUUACCGCCGAGCUAUGGCCGGUUAGGCAGUUAAACAUUAAAUACCGAGCUACGGUCGGUCGGGCAGUCAUGCAUUUACCACCGCGCUACGGCCGGUCGGGUAGUUACCACUGAUCAGUUGGGCAGUCAUGCAUCGUACGAUAUGGGUAAUAGUCUCAAAGAGAAGUAUUAUAUAUAUAAGUAUAAGUAUGCAUAUACGGUGGCACUUUAGAGAUUCAGGUUGAUUCUUAUAUGUCUUUAAUUAAUGUUGACUUAUUGUUAUGUUUCAGUUCUGCCUUACAUACUCAGUACAUUAUUCGUACUGACAUUCUUUUGUUGGGGAUGCUGCAUUCAUGCCUGCAGGUAUAGAUAAUCAGUUUGACGAGCCUUCACAGUAGAUGAGAUUGGCAUUCAUCGAAGGAUCGGUAAGACUCCACCUCAUUCGGAGUGCAGCCGAGUCUAUGAGUCAUCGUGUCAGAGUUUUGCUACAGACUUAUGGGUAGGUUGGUACCCUAUCCCAUUUGAUGUCAAAUAAUCCUAGAGGCUUUGUAGACAGAGGUUCAUUUUGUACAGUAUGUUAGAGGCCUUGACGGACCAUAUGUAUUCAUGUUUUAAGAACGAUAGUUUAUUGAUACAGUGUUUCCCACUUAUAAUUAUACAUUAAGAGUUGUGGCCAUAUUGGCCCACGAUAGUUACAAAGAAAAAAAGAGUUGCAAAGUGGUUCGCUCGGGUCAGCAUGGCACCGAGUGUCAGUCACGCCUCCCCAGGUUUGGGGCGUCACAAAGUGGUUGUUUUAGUAAAAUAAAAAUGUAUGUAUUGAUUUUAUAUGGUACAAUACAUUAUUAAGAUUUUAAUAUUUUACUAGUAGUAUUUUAUAUAAGUCGAGAUAAUUCUUAAUUACGUGGAUAAUAGGAUAACGGGUCAUUACCUAAUUAAUUAGGAUCUUGGAUAAACCUAAGAGGCAAAAACGUGGCAGCACCCCUCUAAUCCUAUGAAUGACUCUUAAGUCAUUAGUCUAGGUGGCAAGACUAGGAAAAGUCUUAGAAUUGAAAAUGUUUAGAAGUACUUGACGAACCUUGGUUUUUCUUUAUUGGUUACUUAAUUAUAACACUAGUAUUUAUUUUGAAACUACUCCAUGAAAGAUUGCUGGCUAGGCCUACACCUGCUAUAUCAAAAUAAGAAGGAUUGAGCUCUACAGAGGGGAUCCAUAGCUCAAAAUAUUUGUUUCAUAAUUACUGUCCUCUUUGGUGGUAUACGUAAGUGUGAAUUGAAGAAGAUUUCAUGGUCUUCAAUAAUAGCAUCUUAGAUCUAAUAAGGGAGUGAUUAAGUGAAACUUGGUAUUUGUAUAGGAGAUUAAAUUGGUCACCCAAUUUAGAAUAUGUUGUAGUCACAAUCUUUCGGUAUUGAGAUCCAAAGUGUAGUGCUCGUACCCUCUUUUAUUGCUAUGAAGAUCCUGUGGCUUAUCUGAAAAUAGAUAUGCUGAGAAGCCUCUAAUUCGAUCCAUCAUUGUUGCCCAUAAGACCAUGAAUAGCUGGUUGUGGUUAAAUGGGAAGACAGUUAGUUGUGGCUUGUGUAUAUACACGUGUGUUAGAGGAAUUGUCAAGAGAAUCGACUCAGGUAUGUUAAGGCUAUCACUUCUUUCUUUUGGCCUGAUCCCAGUAGCGAUACGUAAACGUAAUGAUAUUCCAUAAGUGGUUCUACUCUUAGCAGUUAAGGAUGUCUAUGUUAUUCAUUCCCAUAAAGUGAUAUUCAAGUAUGUCUAA